AGCAGAAGAAGAAGAAC
rnacentral:sRNA from 1 species